rnacentral:rRNA from 1 species
UACGUAGGGGGCAAGCGUUGUCCGGAAUCAUUGGGCGUAAAGAGCGUGUAGGCGGUCCGGUAAGUCGGCUGUGAAAGUCCAGGGCUCAACCCUGGGAUGCCGGUCGAUACUGCCGGACUAGAGUUCGGAAGAGGCGAGUGGAAUCCCCGGUGUAGCGGUGAAAUGCGCAGAUAUCGGGAGGAACACCUAUGGGCGAAGGCAGCUCGCUGGGACGUUACUGACGCUGGAGACGCGAAAGCGUGGGGAGCAAACAGG